GACGAACGCUGGCGGCGUGCUUAACACAUGCAAGUCGAACGGUGACGUCAGAGCUUGCUCUGCCUGAUCAGUGGCGAACGGGUGAGUAACACGUGAGUAACCUGCCCCUCACUUCGGGAUAACCUCUGGAAAUCGUGGCUAAUACCGGAUAUGAGACCUUACUGCAUGGUCGGGUCUGGAAAGAUUGAUCGGUGGGGGAUGGACUCGCGGCCUAUCAGCUUGUUGGUGAGGUAACGGCUCACGAAGGCUACGACGGGUAGCCGGCCUGAGAGGGCGACCGGCCACACGGGGACUGAGAUACGGCCCAGACUCCUACGGGAGGCAGCAGUGGGGAAUAUUGCACAAUGGGCGAAAGCCUGAUGCAGCGACGCCGCGUGAGGGAUGAAGGCCUUCGGGUUGUAAACCUCUUUCAGCAGGGAAGAAGCGAAAGUGACGGUACCUGCAGAAGAAGCGCCGGCUAACUACGUG
rnacentral:rRNA from 1 species